rnacentral:rRNA from 1 species
AUUGAACGCUGGCGGCAUGCCUUACACAUGCAAGUCGAACGUGAAAGCGGGGCAACCCGCAAGUAGAGUGGCGGACGGGUGAGUAAUACAUCGGAACGUGUCCAGUAAUGGGGGAUAACCUAGCGAAAGUUAGGCUAAUACCGCAUACGAUCUGCGGAUGAAAGCGGGGGAUGCGGCACUAAAGGCUUUUGGCGAAGGUGGCCAAAGGUGAGUCAAGAGCUUUUAGUGCUGCACCUCGCGUUAUUGGAGCGGCUGAUGUCUGAUUAGCUAGUUGGUGAGGUAAAGGCUUACCAAGGCGACGAUCAGUAGCUGGUCUGAGAGGACGGCCAGCCACACUGGGACUGAGACACGGCCCAGACUCCUACGGGAGGCAGCAGUGGGGAAUUUUGGACAAUGGGGGCAACCCUGAUCCAGCCAUGCCGCGUGAGUGAAGAAGGCC